AUUUACCUAGGCAUUUGGCUGCCUUCUGUCACUAUCACUGGUUCCAAUCUGCUAGGGCAAGUUAUGCAAAAUAGAGCUCUUUCCCCAAGGACACAGAUGGGGUCUCUUUAAUGUUCCUAGGAUUUCUUCAGGAAGCCUGGUCUUUUCUCCUAUAUUCAGUUGCUACAAGUUGCAGGACUCUGGGGUCAUGUCUCAUGGCUGGAGUCACAGGCUGGGAGCACCCUGCAGAAUGGCAAGUGACAUCUUGACUCUACAGAGCCAACAGCCCGGGAGCACCACACAGAAUGGCAGGUGACAUCUUGGCUCUACAGAGCCAACAGCUUCGUCACUGGCUACAGAUCCUCCAUCCCCCAACCAUGAGACUGGAACAAAGGAAGUAACUGGGUACAUUCCAGAGAAGUGGAGAAGGUUGCAAUUGAGUGACUUUCAUCACAAGAGGGCAGCAUGUGUCCAGUAAUUAAUCCAUUAUGUGGUAGAAGUCUGUCUUCUCCCCGUGCUCCUAGGAAGACCUUCAUGUCCUCCUUGACCAACAGGGGAUGGUGGAAGUGACUCUGUGUGACUUGUGAGACAAGAUUCUAAAAGUCAUGCACUUCUGCCUUGUUCUCUUGGGAUAACUGCUCUUGGAACCCAGCCAUUGCAGUGAGGAAGUCAAAUAGCUCCAUGGACAUGCCAUGUGUAGGUGUUCUGGCAAACAGCCCCAGGUGAGGUUCCAACUGACAGCCAACGUCAACCACCUGACGAGAAUGAGUCUUCCAGCCUUGAUCUGCUGAGUCAUCGCCAACUCCAGCCAAUACUGUAAGGAGCAAAGAUGAGCUGUUCUGCCAAUUGUAGCCCAAAUUGCAGAUUUUUGAAUAAAAUAAAUGACUGUUAUCAUUGUAAGCCACUAAGUUAGGAGUGCUUUGUUAUGCAGCAAAAAAUAAUUAGAAGAACAAAUAUGACAUUAUUAAAUUAGUAAUGCUUUUGACUUUUAGUACACGGGGGAAUAGAUAAGUAAAAUGUUGAAUAAAUAUGAAUAAAGUGGAAUAUUUCUGAAGCAGUCAGAGGGAUGAAUUAGCCAUACAUGCAGCAACAUAAGUCAAUCUUAAUACACAGUGAAGAACUAAUCAUCAGAAUGCUAUACAGACAAUAUAUUAGGCCGAUUUUGCACUGCUAUAAAAAAAUACCUGAGACUGAGAAAAAAAAAAAAAACCUGAGAAGAGGUUUAAUUGGCUCACAGUUCUGCAGGUUGUACAGGAAGCAUGGUGCUGGCAUCUGCUUAGCUUCUGGAGAGGCGUCAGGGAACUUUUACUCAUGGCAGCAGGCAAAGCAGGAGCAGGCAUGUCACAUGGUGAAAACAGGAGCAACAGAGGGCGAGGGGAAAGAUGCCUCACACCUUUAAACAGCCAGAUCUUGCUAGAAGUACCGCAAAGACAGCGCCAAGGGGAUAAUGCUAAACCAUCCAAGAGAACUCUGCUCCCAUGAUCCAGUCACCUCCCAUUAGGCUCUACCUCCAACAAAGGGAAUUACAAUUCAACAUGAGGUUUAGAGGAUACAACAUCCAAACUAUAUCAGACAAUAACCAUUUAUAAACAUGUAAAAAAAAACUAAAAGAAAUCUUAGGUAUUUUUGAAAGAUUCAUAAAAAUCUAAUUCAAUGUACAGAAGGUAGAUCAGAAGGACAUAUAUUAAAUACACUAGGGUAUGUAGUUAAAUAACUAUAGGAUUGGGAAUGGGAAUAAAGGGAGAAAAUUUUAAAAAAGUCAAAAACAAGAGAGUGUUAUGUAAUUUCCAGACUUGAUUCCCAUUUCCUUCUAAGUCACACAGCUAAAAUCUAUUUCCCAGCCUUCUGUGCAGUUAGGUGUGGCCAUAUGAUUUAGCUCUAACUAUUGGAAUGUGGGCAAAAGAGAUGUAAGUUAUCUCUAAGCCAAGCCCCUCAGCAAGGAAAAAAUGGCCUUGGCAACUAAUAAAUAGAUACCAAGAUGGACCACAUCCUAUCCUGGGUCAUGUAAAACAAACCUUCACAAAUUUAAAAGGACUGAAAUCAUAAAAAAUAUAUUAUCUGUUCAUAAUGAAUCUAACUAGAAAUCAAUAAUAACAGAAAGAUACCAGGAAAAUCACAAAACAAUUAGAAAUUAAACAACCCACUUUUAAAUACUCCAAUGGUCAAAGAGAAAGUCUCAAAGGAAAUGUAAAAAUACACUGAAGGGAAUGAAAAUACAACAUAUAAAAAUCUUUGGGAUGCAGUUAAAGCAGUUUCACUUUUAGAGAAAUUUAUAAAUUUAACACUAAAUGCUUAUAUUGGAAGAUGGUCUCAGAUCCAAAACAAAGCUUCCACCUCAAGAAACUACAAGCGGAAGAGCAAAAUAAACCCAAAGCAAGUAGGAGGAAGGAAUAAACGUAAGAGUAAAAAGUCAAUGAAAUUGAAAACAGAAAAACAAUAGAGAAAAAUGAAAGCAAAAGUUUAUUCUUUGAAAAGAUCAAUAACAUUGAUCAACCUCAAGCAAGGCUGACAAAAGGUGGGGAGAAGAAGAGAAGAGGGAAGGAGAGAGGAGAGGAGAGGAGGGGAGACAGGAAGUUAAGAAGGGGGAAAGUGCAAGAAAGACAUAAAUGAUCAAUAUUGGUAAUGAAAGAAGGAAUACUAUUACAGACCCAGCAGACAUUACAGGAUAAUAAAGGAAUACAACAAACAACUCUAUGCACAUAAAUUUGACAAUUUAGAUGAUAUGGACCAAUUCCAAACUAUAAAAACACCCAAGAUAACAGAUAACUUGAAUAGUCUCAUAACUACUAAAAAAAUUGAAUUAACAGUUUAAAACCUUUUGAUAAAGAAAUCUCCAGGCCCAGAUGGUAUCACUGCUGAACUGUAACAAACAUUAAAAGAAUAAGUAACAGUAACUUUAUACCAUCUCUUCUGGGAAACAGGGAAGGGAACAACUAAUAAGUG
rnacentral:lncRNA from 1 species